UCAAUGGAGCAUCGGCCUGUUAACAACAUUUUAAACUUUUCCACCGCUGCCACAUCCAUGUCAGAAAUGUGGAUUUAAACCCGACAGCCCGACAGGAAUCUAAACGCGGCCGCGGAGGAAGAAAUGCGGUGAAGCUUUAUAUCCGAAUCAUCAGUGAUGCGAUCUCCAUAUCAGCCUCAACCUCAGAGAACAGAGGCUCCAGAGUCAGGGACAGUAUUGAACUUUUGAUGGCAUGAGGAAACAAACUGGUUUCACCAAAGUUGCACGAGGGCCAGAAACUAAAUGGCUUCAUGAUUCACAAUACAUUUACAUCAAAGGCAGUGUACAGUAGACCAUUACACAUUUACGAUUUAGAGGACAGUGGUGUAGAGG